GCUCUAAGUUCUGGAAGGUGUGUGCACA
rnacentral:piRNA from 1 species